rnacentral:rRNA from 1 species
CUUUGUCAGGGAAGAAACGGUGAAGGCUAAUAUCCUUUGCUAAUGACGGUACUGAAGAAUAAGGACCGGCUAACUACGUGCCAGCAGCCGCGGUAAUACGUAGGGUCCAAGCGUUAAUCGGAAUUACUGGGCGUAAAGCGUGCGCAGGCGGUUGUGUAAGUCAGAUGUGAAAUCCCCGGGCUCAACCUGGGAAUUGCAUUUGAGACUGCACGGCUAGAGUGUGUCAGAGGGGGGGUAGAAUUCCACGUGUAGCAGUGAAAUGCGUAGAGAUGUGGAGGAAUACCGAUGGCGAAGGCAGCCCCCUGGGAUAACACUGACGCUCAUGCACGAAAGCGUGGGGAGCAAACAGGAUUAGAUACCCUGGUAGUCCACGCCCUAAACGAUGUCUACUAGUUGUCGGGUCUUAAUUGACUUGGUAACGCAGCUAACGCGUGAAGUAGACCGCCUGGGGAGUACGGUCGCAAGAUUAAAACUCAAAGGAAUUGACGGGGACCCGCACAAGCGGUGGAUGAUGUGGAUUAAUUCGAUGCAACGCGAAAAACCUUACCUACCCUUGACAUGGUCGGAAUCCUGCUGAGAGGCGGGAGUGCUCGAAAGAGAACCGGCGCACAGGUGCUGCAUGGCUGUCGUCAGCUCGUGUCGUGAGAUGUUGGGUUAAGUCCCGCAACGAGCGCAACCCUUGUCAUUAGUUGCCACAUUCAGUUGGGCACUCUAAUGAGACUGCCGGUGACAAACCGGAGGAAGGUGGGGAUGACGUCAAGUCCUCAUGGCCCUUAUGGGUAGGGCUUCACACGCCAUACAAUGGUACAUACAGAGGGCCGCCAACCCGCGAGGGGGAGCUAAUCCCAGAAAGUGUAUCGUAGUCCGGAUUGGAGUCUGCAACUCGACUCCAUGAAGUUGGAAUCGCUAGUAAUCGCGGAUCAGCAUGUCGCGGUGAAUACGUUCCCGGGUCUUGUACACACCGCCCGUCACACCAUGGGAGCGGGUUUCACCAGAAGUAGGUAGCCUAACCGCAAGGAGGGCGCUUACCACGGUGGAUUC